rnacentral:rRNA from 1 species
CCUGAUGACCAUAGCGAGUCGGUCCCACCCCUUCCCAUCCCGAACAGGACCGUGAAACGACUCCACGCCAAUGAUAGUGCGGGUUCCCGUGUGAAAGUAGGUAAUCGUCAGGC